UGCUGCUUAGUUCAAUGGCUGAACGUUUUCCUAUCACGGAAAAAGGUUGUGGGUUCGACCCCCACAGCAGCAA
rnacentral:tRNA from 1 species